GCAGUCAUUCUAGGACUGGUUACAGCAGUCCCUGCUCGUGACAGGAAGCUUCGCAGCCGGGAGGCAACAAUAAAUCAAUCAGUUCUUUCUGUGGUUCACGUGUUCGCCAGUCGGCAUAAGCCAACAGAACACUUUCACAGAACCUGAACGGGUAUGCUAUGGCUGUCCUGCUCACCAGGCAGACUUUGUGGCAGGAGCAGGGGCAGUAUGUAGCAUGUGAAGAGGAACACUGCGCUUCAGGCUGUUUGAAAGGAACGGGACAGAACCCCACAACACAGCACCUGCAGCCUGGCGGACAGAUGUGGAGUUCACAUGUGAGCCGCCACCAGUGGCAACAAUUAGCCUGUGACUUCCACAGUAGACUCCCCCUCAAUCACUCAUAUUAUUUAGCAUAAUGAGUUUACCUGUGUGGUUUGUUCAAUACAAUCUAAGUGAGGCUGUGUGAAAUUGUUGCCAUUAAGAGUUUUUUUAAAAACAUUUCAGUCCUGUAUAUAACUAAUUCAGAUCAAAAUCAUGACUACAUUUUGAAUUAAACUAUUUUGGACAAAAAAAAAAGAAAAGUUGGUCCAAAUAGUUAUUUUCUAAAAUCCAUUACUUCAGUUUAUUUUCCCUACAAUUAAGUUUUAUAAUCACCUAGAGCCAUAAAAGUAGUUCAAUCCUUUUAUCUGAAAAACACCAUGUCAAAUAAUGAUUAGAACAUUUACAAAAAAACCACACACAGUGGAGUCACUAUGAAAACUACAUACAGGGUGUACCAUUAAAGAAAACAGACAGGUGUAAAAAUGCCAUUGUCAUUUUAUUUAUACAAUGCCUGUGAAGUACAGUCAUGAACAUUACAGGAAGCCAAAGCAACAUAUCACUAUACCAUCAAACCCAUACAGUCGUUUCUGUAUAAUUCACUGGAAAUAAAUACAAAAAUUAAAUGUUUAUUGUUGGAACAGAGUAUGCAAAAGGAAACCGUAUCCGUUAGUAUCGUUCUCAGAACCAGACUCCACGCUACGUCACCAUGUCACAAUUAUGCUGCUCGAACAUCAGUAAUGUAUACAAGCAGUUUUAGAAAGAGGAUCUCCGAUGUGUAAAAAAGACCUUCACAGUACUAGAGCUAAAAUGGGAUUUUAAACUGACAAGACAA